GAUUAUCUGCUUUGUUUUAGUGACUUUGAUUUUUGCCUUUGCCCUUUCGUACUUUCGCACUUUUUAUUGGAUUUUUGACCUUUUUGCCUGUUUACUCGACUAUUCUUUUUUUUCCUGUUUUUGCCAUUGUCUUAGAUCUCUUGGCUUUCGAACUCGGAAUAAAUAACAACGUUUUUGGAUUAUCCCCUGGUCUGCGUCUGGGUCCUCAGUGCCAUACAUAACAGUCCUGUGGGUUUGACGUAGGCGAUUGUGGGAAAGAUCAUUUCGGGCAGCUCUACCAGGUGACCCUUCGGAGGAACGUGACCCACUACAUCCCCCCCUGGGUGAGACCAGGCCCUACUUCAGCUUCGAGGGGCUGGCCCAGCGUGUCGGAGGCCCAGGAACUUUCUCCCAUAAUGCGGCCUGUGAGUGCAUUCUGGGUAAUGACAGGAGGCGGGG